rnacentral:rRNA from 1 species
UGCGGAAGGAUCAUUACUGAGUGAGGGCCCUCUGGGUCCAACCUCCCACCCGUGUUUAUUGUACCUUGUUGCUUCGGCGGGCCCGCCUUUAUGGCCGCCGGGGGGCUUACGCUCCCGGGCCCGCGCCCGCCGAAGACACCCUCGAACUCUGUCUGAAGAUUGUAGUCUGAGUGAAAAUAUAAAUUAUUUAAAACUUUCAACAACGGAUCUCUUGGUUCCGGCAUCGAUGAAGAACGCAGCGAAAUGCGAUACGUAAUGUGAAUUGCAGAAUUCAGUGAAUCAUCGAGUCUUUGAACGCACAUUGCGCCCCCUGGUAUUCCGGGGGGCAUGCCUGUCCGAGCGUCAUUGCUGCCCUCAAGCACGGCUUGUGUGUUGGGCCCCGUCCUCCGAUCCCGGGGGACGGGCCCGAAAGGCAGCGGCGGCACCGCGUCCGGUCCUCGAGCGUAUGGGGCUUUGUCACCCGCUCUGUAGGCCCGGCCGGCGCUUGCCGAUCAACCAAAAUUUUUCCAGGUGACCUCGGAUCAGGUAGGGAUACCCGCUGAACUUAAGCAUAUC